GUGAGAAAACAUCAUUCACUCACAACUACGGAUUAUUGUGUCACAUAUUUGGAUUUUUAUACCAGUAAUUUUGUCAAAAACCGAAGAAACAAAAGAAUUCUGCCACAAUGAAAGAAAAACCAUUGUAACAGACAUUAAUUGUGACGUCAGACAUAUUACCAUAACUGUAGAGGGAGAUCCUAAUCAUGUUGAUCAAUGCGAUUGGAAUCAAGGAAAAAUGUUGUGUAGUAAUGGGAAUUAUGAAAAUACCAAUAAAUCUCUUCGAUUCAGUUUCACUUUUCAUCUGGAACAUCAUGCGGGAAAACAGAUGGUGAUACAUUCCAGGUGUAAUAAUGGAAGCCAUAUCAAUAAAUCUAUUAUAAUGAUACCAUGUCGUUCAGAAUUUACGGUUGAUGCCACCUACAACAAGGAACACAUAAAUUUGACCUGCCAACAUAAGUUCUUCAAUUUGUCAUCAGACGGAAUCCAUAUAAAGAGGAAGGAAGAAGAUGAUUUUAUCGUCACCUGUACAUGGAACAGA